AUGGGGGGUGGCAACUUAUUUCCGGAGCACAGUGGGCACAUGAAGAAUCAGAAGGUUUCCUGGAAGCUGGAGAAUGGAGAAAACAAAAGGCCUUUCCUUCUCAUAAUUUUAAAGACAGCUAACACUAGGGGUUCUAGGGAGCACAGUCUGUUAAACGCCCAACUGUUGGCUUCAGCCCAGGUCACGAUCUCAGGUCAUGAGAUCCAGCACCAUGUUGGACUCCAAGCUCAGUAUGGAGUCCGCUUAAGACUCUCUCCUCCUCUCCCUCUGCCCCUCCCCCUCCCUCUCUGCUUACAAUAAAUAAAAGAGGAGGAGGAAAAAAAGAGGUGCUACCACUUUUCAGGUGAGGUUGAAUACUACUCAAAGUGUUUCAUAUAUAAAAAAAAAUAACAAAGUGCUUCACAUGUAUUGAUCCAUCUAAUCCCCAUAACAGCCUGUGGUGAGUACUGUGGACAUUCUCACUUUACAGAUGAGGAUACUGAGGCAAAAGGAACUAAGGAAACUGCCCAGGGCUUCACCACUAGUGAGUGGCAGGGCAGAAAUUUGAACCUGGACAGAAGGCAGCCAGAGCCUCUGGUCUUAACUCCUACUUGAUCUUGCCCCUUACACCCGUAAAGAGUCAACAAUUUAUUAGAUCAGCAAGAAUGAGAGCUAUUCUCUGAGAACAAGUGUUGCCAGAACUAACCUUGUACAGAGGGCCUCAAGAAGACUCUCUGGCAUCACCCAGCACCUGCCAUCCAGCACAUAGCCAAAAAGCCUAGUAGAAGUCCUGAUCCCUAGGGUGGUGGUUAGUAGGGUGUAUAGAAGAGUCACCUGAGCAGCUUCUGUGAAAUGAAAAUUCUGAGAUCCCAACCCCAAAGAUUCUGAUUCCAUAGCUCCAGGGUCAAUCCCAGGAAUCUGCAUCUUAAUGAGUUCCCAGGCCCCUGAUAGACUUGUUGAGAAAUGAGGUCCUGGGACCUUGGGUCUGGGUUAGCAUAAAGCUUUGCAUGAAGCUUUGCAUAUCCCAAAACUCCUAUGUUGAGAUCCUAACCCCCAAUGCCAUGAUAUGAGGACAUGAGGCCUUUGGGAGGUAGGAGGUGCUUCAGUCAUGAAGGUGGAGCCCCCAUGAAGGGAAUUAGUGUUCUUCUAUAAGAGAUCCCAAAGAGCCUCCCUAGUGCCUUCCACCAUGUGAGAAUACAGCAAGAAGAUGCGAGCUAUGAACGAGGAAGAGGGCUCUCGCCAGGACACAACCAUGCCACCAAUUUGAUCUUGGACUUCCCAGCCUCUAUAACCAUGGAAAAUAAAUUUCUGCCAUUUAUAAGCA
rnacentral:lncRNA from 12 species